AUUAAAUAAAAAAUUCUGCGCCCGAUCUCGUCUGAUCUCGGAAGCUAAGCAAGGUCUGGCCUGGUUAGUACUUGGAUGGGAGACCACUAUCUAAUACACUGGCCAGUA
rnacentral:rRNA from 1 species